rnacentral:misc_RNA from 1 species
GGAUGAAGAACGUAGCGAAUUGCGAUAUGUAAUGUGAAUUGCAGAAUUCAGUGAAUCAUCGAAUCUUUGAACGCACCUUGCACCCUUUGGUAUUCCGAAGGGUAUGCCUGUUUGAGUGUCAUUAAAUUCUCAACUUCAAAAGAGUUUGUGCUUUCUUGAAGCUUGGACUAUGGAAGCCUGCUGGUAUCACUAUCAGCUCUUCUUAAAUGCAUUAGCGGAACCGUAAAGGACCAGCUUUGGUUUGAUAAUCCUAUCUAUGCCGUCGCUGUGGACUUGGCGUUCAGCUUCUAACUGUCUUAGGACUGCCUCUUAGGGCAUACAAUUUUAAGCUUGACCUCAAAUCAGGUAGGACUACCCGCUGAACUUAAGCAUAUCAAUAAGCGGAGGA